AGCAGCCGCGGUAAUUCCAGCUCCAAUAGCGUAUAUUAAAGUUGCUGCAGUUAAAAAGCUCGUAGUUGAAUUUCGGGACCAUCAUGUUGGUCGUGCCUAGGUACGUACUGGCAUUGUUGGUUUCUCCCUUCUGACGAACCAUGAUGUCAUUUACUUGGUGUCGUGGGAAAUCAGGACUGUUACUUUGAAAAGAUUAGAGUGUUUAAAGCAGGCUCACGCUUGAAUACAUUAGCAUGGAAUAAUGAAAUAGGACGUUUGAUUCUAUUUUGUUGGUUUCUAGGAUCGACGUAAUGAUUAAUAGGGAUAGUUGGGGGCAUUAGUAUUCAAUUGUCAGAGGUGAAAUUCUUGGAUUUAUUGAAGACUAACUACUGCGAAAGCAUUUGCCAAGGAUGUUUUCACUAAUCAAGAACGAAAGUUAGGGGAUCGAAGACGAUCAGAUACCGUCGUAGU
rnacentral:rRNA from 1 species